AGCAGCCGCGGUAAUUCCAGCUCCAAUAGCGUAUAUUAAAGUUGUUGCAGUUAAAAAGCUCGUAGUUGAAUUUCGGGAUCAAUUAGUCGGUCGUGCCUCUGGUACGUACUGGUUUUAUUGGUUCCUCCCUUCUGACGAAACAUGAUGUCAUUAAUUUGGUGUCGUGGAGAAUCAGGACUGUUACCUUGAAAAAAAUUAGAGUGUUUAUAGCAGGCUAACGCUUGAAUACAUUAGCAUGGAAUAAUGAAAUAGGACGUUCGACCCUAUUUUGUUGGUUUCUAGGAUCGACGUAAUGAUUAAUAGGGAUAGUUGGGGGCAUUAGUAUUCAAUUGUCAGAGGUGAAAUUCUUGGAUUUAUUGAAGACUAACUACUGCGAAAGCAUUUGCCAAGGAUGUUUCAUUAAUCAAGAACGAAAGUUAGGGGAUCGAAGACGAUCAGAUACCGUCGUAGUCUUAACCAUAAACUAUGCCGACUAGGGAUCGGAUGAUGUUAACUCUUUAAUGACUCAUUCGGCGCCGUU
rnacentral:rRNA from 1 species